AAUCCUGUGUUUCCGCUGUGUCGAAACGCAGCCUCGAGACCAACGCAAAGAGGUUUCGCUGGCCCCAACGUCGCGCAGGAGGUCUCCAAGGGCCUGGCUUCCCUCCCGGUUCGGAGUGGGAAAGGCGAAUUAAGAGCCGAGGGUUUCUUCCCAGCCAGGGCGAGCUGGGUUCAUGUGCUUCAUCCUGCAACGGUUCCGUGCGAAGAGCCUCGCUCUGCGGGGAGCUGGACCUGGGAGAGCAUCCGUGGUGCCGGACACCUGUCCAGGGGCGCUUCCUCGCCCCGCAGCGUGCCGAAACUCGCAGCGGGAGCGACGGCACGACGCAGGGACGUGCCGUGGGGAAGGCGGCUCCGCAUCCCCCAGGCCGGGGAGCGCCGGCCGGCCGCGGCGGGGCACGGCCUGCUCCGGCGGCUGGGAACACCGCUGCUCGGCCCCGUUCAGCAGGAGCGGCAGGAUGGAUGGACCGGCAGCCCCAGAGGUGAAGGCUGGUGCUUUAUCCUGCUCACGCCCGCUCCUCCCUCGCCCCGGGUUAUAAAUGGGUGUGAAUUGUCUCCCCUUGAUAGGCAUAACCUCCAUGCCGGCUCCCACACCCCGGGGAGGUGCCCCUCCGGGCUUGCUUUGCUUCCUUGCCCUCCCGUGUCUGAUGUCUUCCCAGAUGCUUCAGACGUUUCUCUCUGCCUCCCGGAGCAGCUGCCUGGGAGGGGGAAGGGAGGGCGGGAUGGGGAGCCGGGAGCUGCUCGCCGCCCCUCCAAGCAUCCCCGGGAGCUGCUCCCUUCCCGGGCCGGCUGCGGGGAGCAGGGCUGUGCGGCGCGGGCUGCGCCUCCGGGACCCCACGCACCUCCAUCCCCGCUGCCGGGACCCGCCACCCCGGGUCCUCUGCGCCCCGGGAGCCCGAGUGCGUUCGCAGUCCCGCAAGCUCCCGGCAGAGCUGGGCAGGGGGGAGCGAUGCCGCAGGGGGGGAGCGAUGCCGCAGGGCAGAGCUGCACAGCGAAACCUCCCAGCAAAGCAUCCAUCCGCCCGGCCGGUCUGCUCCGCUCCGUAAUUGUUUUAACACCGUGCACGGGAGAGAGCAGCAAGCGCUGGCGGCGCUGGGAGCCUCCGGGCCCCGCGGGGAGGGCGGGGGGCUGCAGCCCCCGAACAGUGGGGAGGUUUUGCCGGGCCGCGGCUCACGUCCGGCCUCGGCCGCGGCCCUCCGGCGCGCGUCGCUUCCACGCCGGCAUCCAGCAAUAA
rnacentral:lncRNA from 1 species